GUGGGAUAUCACCAAAGAUCAUGUUAACUCGAGCGAACAGACCGUAUACCGAUUGCGGUAUGCUGUGAGAUGAACUAAAGGACAGGCGAUAUUGUAAAAGUGUUAUUGCUUCAGGUUUACUUGCCGUCUAUAGACAAGAGUCGUUAAACUCGGCCCAACCCGUGUACGCUGUAACCAAGCGGAGUUACAGGCGGAUAAUACGGAGCUACGUUUGAUAUAAGCCACUGGGAUUGAAUAUACUGCUGACAUUUCUUUAAAGCCUUCUUGUAGAGUUUAUUAUAGACAUGGUGUAUAUACUUCCGCAUUUGUUCACCACAUUAUAUGACCUCCGUAGUCGCUCUCGGCAAUCCCAAGACAGUCUUUACAGUUGUUUUUCAUAGCAUUACUUUUGCGGCAGUAAAAUAAAGAAAGCAAAAUGCCGAUCCAAUCAUGUAAAUAGAGGUUAUGAAUGCCAGUUUUAGCGAGAAGCGGAUUACAAACAGGCAUCAUGCUAACAGCACAGAGACUUGUAAUGUGUACAGCUGACAACGCAGAAUUUGCUAGUGUGCGAUGAACCGAUGUCGUGUAUGUGGUGUGCGCCUUAUGUGUCGUCUGAUUCUCAAAUACUCUUUAGGUUCUCCCCAUAUCUAGGCUGCAUCACCAACAUCGGGUGGUUUUUCGCAGACUGAUAUCCCGCGCUAUAAAUUCAUUAAAGCUUCUCGUUCACUUACAAUGUGCGCUGAUACUCUGAGCCCACCCAGUCCUUUCCAGGCGCUAUAUGCCUGUGCGGCCGAGCAUAUGCGUACGUCAUUAGUGUAUUGAUUGCUUUGACAUAUCACCGGAACAGACUGCACUAACAUGUGCGCAGCUAGGUAUCCCAUUUGGCGGUACGUUGAAAGCUAUGCUAGAAAUGCACUACAUUACUCAUCGUCGCUGGCCAUAAUGCUAGCGCCUGACGUGCGUGCUAACGGUUUUUACAAACACUGCGUUCAUCCAAGUGUGCACUCCUGCUCCAUGCGAUAGCCCACAGCGUUUGUAAUACAGCGCGCCAAGGCAUUUCCUUCUUCCAUGGAAAGAACUGAAAAAUGGAAGGUUAAAGCAACCGGUUUCGCGCGCAUGGAACGCAGAGAGAGAGAGAGAGAGAGCGACAAUAAAAAAAAAUAGAAAAGAAACGGGCAAAGGCGCUCAGAUUUCUCGGAGCACGUACGCCGUCGCCGGCCGCAGCGCCUGCGCAUGCGCAGCGGCAGCAACGGCGGCGCGCCAUCUCUCCGCGUCGAUUUGAAUUCUCAACGGCUGCGCCAGGCAAGUCAACGCUUGUUGCUGCUGGUGAGCUGCCUGCACCUUGGUGUCUGUGUAUUCGUCUCGACUUUGUGGCAUCACACGUCAACUACACUGAACGCGGGUGUCAUAGACUGCCAGGGAAUUUUCAUGAAAACAGCCAGGGAAAGCUUGGAAAAACAUCAGGGAAAUUGAAAAUGACAACAUAGCAUGCACCUGCAGCACCUUCGGAACGGCUGACACGAAGGUCAAGGCCAGCCAGGCAACCGUGCUUGCCAAGGGGAAGCAGCUUUAAAUAUGUAAAUAUUCUCUUUUGAUGAUAGCAUAAGACAUGCAUUUUAAUAAAUUAAUGUAUUAUAUCGUUCAAUAAAAACAGUUAAUUCAAUAUCGGUGCACUUGUUUUCUUUUUUGCACUACAUGAGUCUGCACUUGUGGAAUUGCUUGAAAUAUUUCUUUCUGCUACAUAUGAGAGUACAGCUGGUUCAGGAUCAUUAUUAAUCUAUUAACAUGAAUGCAUAAAUGCAGAUGGGAAGCAACAGGUGCACAUGCAUAAUAUACGUUCAAAAUUUUGUUGCCGCCAUAUGUAAACAAAAAUUUUAACUACCUUGUAGAUAGAUUUCAUUCAAGCGAAUGCAUUGCAUGCGACUAAACUUUCUUCAAUGUGCAAUUACACAAAUGCUCAUGCAGCUUUACAUAAUGAUUCACGGCUGCAUACAUUUUAGAUUUUUGACUGCUUCCAUCUGCAUGCAUGCUUUUCUAUGUACAGUUCCCUAUGUAUGUUCCCAUAUGCAUACUGGAUACAAUAAAUUUUUAUAGACAUUUCCAAUAAACUGCUUAUUAGCAAACCCCAGCAGCGAGUGUUUAUGGAAUAACAUUGCCUGCCGAAACAUAGUUAGAAAAAUGUGGUGUAUUAUCUAGUAUAUAUGGUGUCCCAGUAAUUUUAGCCAAGCUGGUCAAUGAAAAUGAAAGGUUAAAAACAACACGGUGCAAGAUAUAUGAUCAUAAAAAGACCUGAAGGUCAGACCUCUGAAUUCAAGGCCGAAUGCACGCCAUAGGUCUUAAAAUCGGAUCUUAUUGCACCGUCUUUUCUUAAUAUUAUUUUUCAUUGAACAGCUUCAGUAAAUUUAAGUUAGCUGGGACACCCUGUAAAAUUGUAAGGCUGAAGUCUAUGGAUUAGCUAUAGACUGAUCUACAGGAACUCUCUGUAGGUAGACUACCACAUUCUACAAAAAGUGUAAGGCCAUAAGUCCAUAGACAGACUAUAGACCGGUCUAUAGGAAUAGUUUAUAGUCUAUAGACAUUUCAUAGACUUAUGUCUACAAAAGUAAAACUAUAUAAGCCUAUAGACUUUUUGUCUAUAGACACUCUGCAGACAUUUGUCUACAAAAGAGAAUUUUCAUUGAUCUAUAGACCGUCUAUUGUCAGUCUAUAGAAUCAGACAUUGUGUAGACUAGCCUACAAUUAGUGUAUGGCCAUAAGUCCAUAGACUGUCUAUAGACUGGUCUAUAGUAAUAGUCUAUAGAUAGUCUAUAGACGUUUGUAGAUAUUUUAUAGACAUGUAUACAAAAGUAGAACUAAAUGAGCCUAUAGACUUUUGUCUAUAGACAUUCUGCAGACAUUUGUUUACAAAAGUGAAUUUUCAUUGAUCUAUAGACUGUCUAUAGUCAGUCUAUAGACUCAGACAUUUUGUAGACUGGUCUAGAAAAAGUGUAUGGCCAUAAGUCCAUAGACUGUCUAUAGACUGGUCUAUAGGAAUAGUCUAUAGAUAAUCUAUAGACAUCUGUCUAUAGACAUUUUAUAGACUUAUUUCUACAAAAGCAGAACUAUAUAAGCCUAUAGACUUUUGUCUAUAGACAUUCUACAGACAUUUGUCUACAAAAGUGAAAAUUUAUUGAUCUAUAGACAGUCUAUAGUCAGUCUAUAGACUCAGACAUUUUGUAGACUAGUCUACAAAUAGUGUAUGGCCAUAAGUCCAUAGACUGUCUGUAGACUAGUCUAAAGAAAUGUCUACAAAAAGUCUGUUGACUUCAUAGACAGAUGUCUAUACACUUUAU